GCUCGUUGAGAUAGCGCCUCGUGUGCACCACCAGCAGGUCCUCCUCCGAGGCCUCCCGAGCCUCCACCAGCAUGCCAUCGGACAGCAGCUUCUCUUCUGGAACCACAGAGCAAGACCCUGCUUCCUUUCCAGCUCUCAAAGUAGGCCCAGCCCCUAGGCCUGCCCUUGGGCUGCAGGCUAGCCUCUGGCAGCCCCUCAGCACACAGUGAACUUGUGGGUAUGCUGAGAAUGGCUGUCUCCCUAGGCCAGUGUGGUCAGCGGUUAGGCCCUCUGUCCAAGGGGGUUGAACUUGAAACACACAGCAGUCUCCAUAUUUUCUGUGCUGCUGACAGCCACCAGGUGAACUCAGGUGGCUCGGAUGGUGUGGCCUUUCUCUGCCUGAACCAAAGGAGAGCAGUGGCCCACAGGCAGCAGAAGCCAGAACUGAACAACUGCUGUUUUCAGAGCCUUG
rnacentral:lncRNA from 1 species